rnacentral:rRNA from 1 species
CGUGUAGGUGGCUUGAUACGUCUGUCGUUGAAAUCCCCCGGCUCAACCGGGAACGUGGCGCGGAUACGGUCAGGCUUGAGGGGGGUAGGGGGAGUCGGGAACUUCCGGUGGAGCGGUGAAAUGCGUUGAGAUCGGAAGGAACGCCCGUGGCGAAAGCGCGGUCCUGGACCUUUCCUGACACUGAGACGCGAAAGCUAGGGGAGCAAACG